ACGGGAGGCAGCAGUGGGGGAUAUUGCACAAUGGGGGAAACCCUGAUGUAGCGACGCCGCGUGAGGGAUGAAGUAUUUCGGUAUGUAAAGCUCUAUCAGCAGGGAAGAAAAUGACGGUACCUGACUAAGAAGCCCCGGCUAACUACGUGCCAGCAGCCGCGGUAAUACGUAGGGGGCAAGCGUUAUCCGGAUUUACUGGGUGUAAAGGGAGCGUAGACGGUAUGGUAAGUCUGAAGUGAAAGCUCGAGGCUCAACUUCGGAAUUGCUUUGGAAACUAUCAUACUAGAGUGCAGGAGAGGUAAGUGGAAUUCUUAGUGUAGCGGUGAAAUGCGUAGAUAUUAGGAGGAACACCAGUGGCGAAGGCGGCUUGCUGGACUGUAACUGACGUUGAGGCUCGAAAGCGUGGGGAGCAAACAGGAUUAGAUACCCUGGUA
rnacentral:rRNA from 1 species